AGGGUGGGAUGGAUGUGGUGUCGUCGUCAUCGUCUUCAUCGCCUUCAUCGUCUUCGAUUGUGGACUGACAACAGAGGAAGUGAUAGAUAUCGUAGCAUGUGAAUCCCAAAGUGCGUGCCCCUGAUUGGGCCAAGGCCCAAGGCCCAAGGCCCUCAGGUCUCUGCCAUUAGCUACUCGACAUGUUUACUUACCAGAGACAGACUGCUUCAAGCAUUCACCUUUGGCCAAGCCGCUGCCAAAGUGCCAAACGUCUCUGUAUAACGGCGGCGCUGUAUAACGCUUCGACCUCCCUCGUGUAUGUGGAAGCAUUACAAGUGACCCGUCAGCGUGGACUUUGCUACCCGGUACCCCGGCCCCCCGCCCCCUUGACUUCUGGCCCGAAGAAGACAGUUCAUUUUCAGGAUGCUUUAAGGACACGGAUUGCUUGCAUUUCCU